GGCGGGUCUCCUCGCAUUGCAGCGCGGUGAACCUGGUCAGGGCCGGAAGGCAGCAGCCAC
rnacentral:SRP_RNA from 1 species